CCACAGGCCCUACUGAAAUAACUCUGUGAGAAAGGAUCAAAACUGGAUAAUGGAGAACUUAAGCUCUUGGAGGAGAGAUAUGAGGCAAACAUAGCAGAACUUAGAGAACAAAAAGCUGCAAGACCAUAUCGACGAUUGUGUGACUUCUCAGCACCACAAAGAGCAAGAAAAUGAAGAUAUGAAGGUGAGAAUUGUUUUUAUUUAAAUGUAUUGUUUUUUUUAUUAGGUCAUUGGUUCAUUCUCCUUCGCCUUUUCCUUCUCGUCACUCUGCCUGUCGAAACUUUUCUGCUUUAGGUGUUAGCCAGAAAGAGAAUGCACAAACUACAGACAUAUGUCGAGUCCUACCAGAAUGAGAACGCCACUUUGAAGAACCAGGUUGAAAAUGUGAGUUCUGAUGGACGUAAUAGUUGAGGAACACAUUUUCAAAAUUAAAUAGAAUUUUAAAAGAUGUCGUUGGACAAA